rnacentral:lncRNA from 1 species
CCUUGCCUCGCCGCCUCUCCCUCAAAACUCCGGCCGACAGCAGCAGGAGAACCACCGCCGCCGACCGCAUCUGCCUCCCUCCACUCUCGACUCAAAACAACAGUAAACGUUCAAACAACGACAAGCACAAACAAAGCUCAAGACUCCUUCUUUCUUCUUUUUCUUAAAAUCAUGCUCUGAUGUAUGUACAUAUAUAUAUAUAUACAGAUCAUUUAUACAUAUCUACACUUGUAUAAAAACUUGUUUGUGAAUGCAUGUAUGCUCGUGAAUCUUGGUUGGGCAG